UAGCAACAGAAAGUCACACGCACAAUAUAGAAACUCUCUUGCUGGAAGAAACUGUAUAGAAACUCAGAUCCAACUUACUCUGUGGAGAGGGCCAAAUUAUCAUUUAAAUUUAACAUGUACCAAGCUCCAUGGUUGUUUCUUUGAUGAAACCAGUGCCAUCAUCUGACACCAAUCAGCUACUUCAGUGAUAAAGAAGUGUUGACAUCUACCAAGAAUCCUUUCUAAAUCUGUUCUUAAGAGCUGCAAUAGCUCAGGACUGAAGACCACUUGCUAGAUACAAGUCAGUACUGGAAACAGCUUACAACCACAUUAUUUUCCAUGGAGCUCAUCAAGACAAGAACAAGAGAAGCAAAAUUCCUUUUAAGAGUUCCCAGCAGUAGCCUCAGCACUUUUGGCAAGAAUAUGUAUGCACUGCAGUAGCACAAUGUAGCAGUGUGUGAGGGCAGAUUUGUUACUGGAAUUAGUCUAAUCACAGCAAUAAGUGCAGUCAAGUCAU